rnacentral:rRNA from 1 species
GCUGCAUGGCUGUCGUCAGCUCGUGUUGUGAAAUGUUGGGUUAAGUCCCGCAACGAGCGCAACCCUUAUCCUUUGUUGCCAGCGGUUCGGCCGGGAACUCAAAGGAGACUGCCAGUGAUAAACUGGAGGAAGGUGGGGAUGACGUCAAGUCAUCAUGGCCCUUACGACCAGGGCUACACACGUGCUACAAUGGCAUAUACAAAGAGAAGCGACCUCGCGAGAGCAAGCGGACCUCAUAAAGUAUGUCGUAGUCCGGAUUGGAGUCUGCAACUCGACUCCAUGAAGUCGGAAUCGCUAGUAAUCGUAGAUCAGAAUGCUACGGUGAAUACGUUCCCGGGCCUUGUACACACCGCCCGUCACACCAUGGGAGUGGGUUGCAAAAGAAGUAGGUAGCUUAACCUUCGGGAGGGCGCUUACCACUUUGUGAUUCAUGACUGGGGUGAAGUCGUAACAAGGUAACCGUAGGGGAACCUGCGGUUGGAUCACCUCCUUACCUUAAAGAA